UGGGGAAUUUUGGACAAUGGGCGCAAGCCUGAUCCAGCAAUGCCGCGUGCAGGGUGAAGGCCUUCGGGUUGUAAACUGCUUUUGUACGGAGCGAAAAGGUCUGCCCUAAUACGGUGGGCUCAUGACGGUACCGUAAGAAUAAGCACCGGCUAACUACGUGCCAGCAGCCGCGGUAAUACGUAGGGUGCGAGCGUUAAUCGGAAUUACUGGGCGUAAAGCGUGCGCAGGCGGUUAUAUAAGACAGGUGUGAAAUCCCCGGGCUCAACCUGGGACCUGCAUUUGUGACUGUAUAGCUAGAGUACGGUAGAGGGGGAUGGAAUUCCGCGUGUAGCAGUGAAAUGCGUAGAUAUGCGGAGGAACACCGAUGGCGAAGGCAAUCCCCUGGACCUGUACUGACGCUCAUGCACGAAAGCGUGGGGAGCAAACA
rnacentral:rRNA from 1 species